AUGAUAAUAAGUUGUAUGUUUCCUUGACAUUUUUUUGAAUUGAGAGAAAAAAAAAUGCACAAAAAAGUACAAGGGAUUAUACAACCACCCAUAGUAUAUGGGAAUCCAGAGUAAACGAAAUAUUUUUAACUAAAGAGUAGAUACAAAAUUAACAAUUUUGUAAGAAAGUAAACAUUUUGGGUUAGCGCGCAAUAUAUAAUAUUUCUAUGUGCGUACAAAAACCGAAAACAAAUUAGCAAAGAGAGUAGAUUAACCUCACAAUUAAAGUAAAAGCCAUCGACAUGAAAUGAUAUUUAGUUAAUGACCUUAUUGACAUACUUUUGCUGCGCCUUGGUAUCCUUUCACUGGUCUUGAGAGAAAAAUAUAGAUUCACGUCAAAUCACCAUCAUCGACAAUAAGAUAAUGAAAAAGAAUUCACGUUGAUGCUACCUUAUGCAGUUUUUUUGCCACAAGGUUUAGUACUCCCUCUUAAGUAAUUAGAUCACGAUCAAGCUUCAUGCGGCCUUUCAAUAUAAAAACGUUGCAGGUUGCAUACAACAAAUCAUUUACAAUAUCAAUUUAACAUGCAUAUAAAUCCAAAUUUGAAUAUGGCGACGAAAACGAACGGCUCUC
rnacentral:lncRNA from 1 species